rnacentral:rRNA from 1 species
AUGGGCAUUGUGAAGGUUGCAAGUGGUGCGCCUAUAGCGAAGUGUGGUUACAGCCGUGAAAAUGAGGACCUUACACAAGAGGAGAAAUUACUGCUUGAGAGCUUUCCUGUUCAUGAUUCUGCCGAUGACUGCGAACAUGCGAAGGUCGAUUGUGAGCUUGCAAUGUCUGGAGGCCAGCUGUGCAAUGUGCCUUAUGGGCUUUAUGAUCUGCCUGGGUUAAAUGACAUACUGUCUCUGGAGACGUGGAACUCAUGUCUAACAGAAGACGAUAGAUUCCGUCUAGCAGCAUACCUCCCGGACAUGGACCAACAUGACUUGUUUACAACAAUGAUGGAGCUCUUGAGUGGCAGUGCUAUGUUCUUUGGGAGUCCACUUAGAGGGUUUUUUGACAGAUUGAAUGGUGGAUUUUAUUCUCCAGAAGUUUCUCGGGCAAGAGAAUUACUGAUGAACUUUCAGAGACGAAGGUAUUAUCAUUUUCUGAAGUUGUAUCAUGAUGGCAUUGUUUGGAAGUUUGCGUGCAUGGACAAGCUGUGGAGAAGAAAUCUUGUGGAUACUAGUCUUGAGGAGAAGAUUCACAUUUGGCACAACUGGAUACAAGAGAAGCUUCUCACAUUUGCAGAUCCAAACAGUUCUCCUUUGAAUGCAAGACUAUCAAAUAUUGGCAAGGUUGAAGCUGCCAGUUUUGCACCAUUGAAGCGAGCUAAACUUAUAGAAGGGACAUCAAGUACCAAUUGGUCAGCCAAAUACAAGGAGAUAGUCCAUGGAGCAAAAUCAGUGGAAAUUAGCUCAUCGAAUAGUCACAUUUUUCACCUUCGAGAUGUGCCCGGUGAAAAAUGUAGCAAACCACCAAAAGUCGUGCUUAAAGCAAAUGCCGACAGUGAUUCCCUUGCUGAUGGCAAUGCAGGAAUACAUCCUACACCAGGACUGAUCCCACUCCCUCAGCUGGGAGUGCAGGUCUCCACCUUUUCUCCUUAUGCUUUUUCACAGCAUGUACAUAAUUUUUCUGUGAAUCCAUCUUAUCCUUUAUACAUAAACACAAGGAGAAGUUCUUUAGGCAGCUCAAGCUCAAAAUCCUGGCAGGCGGAGGGUGCACUGGAAACUUACCCUAUCUUGGUCAAAAGCCCAUUUGGAGUCCAGCAUGCUGUUUUAGAGGAUCUCAAAACAUGCAACCAUUCUGCAGUGUUGAGUGGGUAUCAGUCAGCAGCUAAACCUAUCACAGCAUAUUCGAAUGAAGGAAACGACACAAGAGAAUCCCUCCAUGAGAAGAACCUUUUGAAGAACUUUGGUCGGCCGGGUGCCAUGGUUCCUGAAAGUUCUCCUGGUCUGUAUACGAGAACCGCCGUUGGCCACGAGACGAACGGAUUGAUGAAAAUGUCCAACCCAGGAAAUGCUGACAUUAUUUCUGAGAUGCUUACCCUUGGUGCAAGCACAAACCCACCUUAUAACUUCCCGAUGCAGUCUGAAACAGUGCUCAAACAGCAUCAUGAUGGACUGAAGACGAAGGCACCUCCUUUCAUGAACUCUGCUACAAGAGUUGAAGGACAUAGACUCCCUUACACAUACACAAGGAGGAAGCCACACAGGGCGGUCGACCUCGUGGAUCCUGUUGAGACGCCGACCAUGGUGGGUUCAGAGACAGCGAGUGGGCUGGCUAGCAUGGCAAAUGUAAAGGCGAAGGGCAUCAAACUUUGA